rnacentral:snRNA from 15 species
UUACAUACCUGGUCGAACUCAGAAGGUGAUCAAAAAUGGCCCCUGGGUAGUGGGAAAAUGUCCCAAAAAUGCACUCAAUGAGAAAUCAGCUUUGGGCGUACCUACUUUGCUUUUUCCCAAGUGGACUAGCAUUCGACUCAAUUUAUGUGUUAUGGUGGCUGCGUAAAUCGCACCACUCC